AACGAACGCUGGCGGCAGGCCUAAUACAUGCAAGUCGAACGCACCGCAAGGUGAGUGGCAGACGGGUGAGUAACGCGUGGGAACCUUCCUAGUAGUACGGAAUAACUCCGGGAAACCGGUGCUAAUACCGUAUAAGCCCUCCGGGGGAAAGAUUUAUCGCUACCAGAUGGGCCCGCGUCGGAUUAGCUUGUUGGUGAGGUAAUGGCUCACCAAGGCUUCGAUCCGUAGCUGGUCUGAGAGGAUGAUCAGCCACACUGGGACUGAGACACGGCCCAGACUCCUACGGGAGGCAGCAGUAGGGAAUAUUGGACAAUGGGCGAAAGCCUGAUCCAGCCAUGCCGCGUGAGU
rnacentral:rRNA from 1 species